AUUGAACGCUGGCGGCAGGCUUAACACAUGCAAGUCGAGCGGGGAAAGGUAGCUUGCUACCUGACCUAGCGGCGGACGGGUGAGUAAUGCUUAGGAAUCUGCCUAUUAGUGGGGGGCAACAUUCCGAAAGGAAUGCUAAUACCGCAUACGCCCUACGGGGGAAAGCAGGGGAUCUUCGGACCUUGCGCUAAUAGAUGAGCCUAAGUCAGAUUAGCUAGUUGGUGGGGUAAAGGCCUACCAAGGCGACGAUCUGUAGCGGGUCUGAGAGGAUGAGCCGCCACACUGGGACUGAGACACGGCCCAGACUCCUACGGGAGGCAGCAGUGGGGAAUAUUGGACAAUGGGCGCAAGCCUGAUCCAGCCAUGCCGCGUGUGUGAAGAAGGCCUUAUGGUUGUAAAGCACUUUAAGCGAGGAGGAGGCUACUUUAGUUAAUACCUAGAGAUAGUGGACGUUACUCGCAGAAUAAGCACCGGCUAACUCUGUGCCAGCCGCCGCAGUAACAC
rnacentral:rRNA from 1 species